GUCCUUUUGAGUAUAAUUUAAGGUCUAGUCUGCCCACUGAAAUAUUUUAAAUGGCCGCAGUAUUUUGACUGUGCAAAGGUAGCAUAAUCAUUAGUUUUUUAAUUAAAAGCUAGUAUGAAUGGCUUGACGAAGAAAAAUCUGUCUCAAUUUAAAUAAGUUUAGAAGUUUAUUUUUAAGUUAAAAAGCUUAAAUAAUUUUAAAAGACGAGAAGACCCUAUAGAGCUUGAUAAUAAUAUUUAUUGUAAAUAUUUAGAAUUUUUUGAUAUAAUAGUUAUUAUUAUUUUAUUGGGGUGAUAUAAAGAUUAAAUAAACUCUUUAAAUUUGAUUUCAUUAAUUAAUGAAUAAAUGAUCCUAUAUUAUGGAUUAAAAGAUUAAGUUACCUUAGGGAUAACAGCGUAAUUUUUUUAGAGAGUUCUUAUCGAUAAAAAAGAUUGCGACCUCGAUGUUGGAUUAAAGAAAAAUUUAGGUGUAGAAGCUUAAAAUUUUAGGUCUGUUCGACCUUUAAAUCUUUACAUGAUCUGAGUUCAGACCGGUGUAAGCCAGGUCGGUUUCUAUCUUUAAAAAUGUAUUAUAUUUUAGUACGAAAGGACCAAAUAUAAGAUAUAAUUAUUUUAUAAUAGAAUAUUAUUAGUUACUUUGGCAGAUUAGUGCAAUAAAUUUAGAUUUUAUAAAUGUAGUUUUUACAAGUAAUAAUUGAUAAUUUAUGAUUUAUUGAUGUUAGUAAUUAGUAGUUUAAUUUUAAUUAUUUGUGUUUUAGUAGGAGUUGCUUUUUUAACUUUAUUAGAACGUAAGGUUU
rnacentral:rRNA from 1 species